AACGUUGAAAUACCACCCUUCUUGUACUGGAAUUCUAAUCCCCAAAGGGGAGACAUUGCUUGGUGGGUAGUUUGACUGGGGUGGUCGCCUCCAAAAGAGUAACGGAGGCUUUCAAAGGUUCCCUCAGCACGCUUGGUAACCGUGCGUAGAGUGCAAUAGCAAAAGGGAGCUUGACUGUGAGACCGACAAGUCGAUCAGGUACGAAAGUAGGAUAUAGUGAUCCGGUGGUUUAGUAUGGAACAGCCAUCGCUCAAA
rnacentral:rRNA from 1 species